rnacentral:rRNA from 1 species
GACGAACGCUGGCGGCGUGCCUAAUACAUGCAAGUAGAACGCACAGUUUAUACCGUAGCUUGCUACACCAUAGACUGUGAGUUGCGAACGGGUGAGUAACGCGUAGGUAACCUGCCUGGUAGCGGGGGAUAACUAUUGGAAACGAUAGCUAAUACCGCAUAAUAUUAAUUAUUGCAUGAUAAUUAAUUGAAAGGUGCAAUUGCACCACUACCAGAUGGACCUGCGUUGUAUUAGCUAGUAGGUGAGGUAACGGCUCACCUAGGCGACGAUACAUAGCCGACCGGAGAGGGUGAUCGGCCACCCUGGGAAUGGGACACGGCCCAGACUCCUACGGGAGGCAGCAGUAGGGAAUCUUCGGCAAUGGACGAAAGUCUGACCGAGCAACGCCGAGUGAGUGAAGAAGGUUUUCGGAUCGUAAAGCUCUGUUGUAAGAGAAGAACGGGUGUGAGAGUGGAAAGUUCACACUGUGACGGUAUCUUACCAGAAAGGGACGGCUAACUACGUG